rnacentral:misc_RNA from 1 species
AAGGAUCAUUGCCGAUGCCUCAAUCCGGAGAGACCCGCGAACGCGUUUUACCACCGGGGACAGUCGAAGCUGCCCAGCAGCCCGCCUUCCCCAAAUGUCGGGACCGAGCCACGCUCCCGUGGUUCCCUCCCGGCGCAACAACAACAAACCCCGGCGCGGAAAGCGCCAAGGAAGCAACAAUCGCACAGCGUGCCCCGUCGACCCGGCAACGGUGCUCGUACGGGUGACGCCGCAACACUCGAGCCUGAAGAACGCAGCGAAAUGCGAUACUUGGUGUGAAUUGCAGAAUCCCGUGAACCAUCGAGUCUUUGAACGCAAGUUGCGCCCGAAGCCAUUAGGCCUAGGGCACGCCUGCCUGGGUGUCACCAAUCGCUGCCCCAACCCCUGUGCCUCUGGCCACGGAGCGGGGCGAAUGUUGGCUUCCCGUGAGCACAGCCUUGCGGUUGGCUGAAAAUCGGGCUCGUGGCGGAUCAAGCGCCGUGACAGAUGGUGGCUGAGUGUCUUCUCGAGGCCAGUCAUGCGCGCGACCUCCGCCAGCACCGCGCCCAGUGACCCGUGAGCGAUGCCGAUCGCCCAUGACGCGACCUCAGGUCAGGC